ACAAGAGGCUUGUUUUUAUCCACAGAACACGGACACUGUGGGUAGCACAAGCUUCCUCCCUCCUGCCCCAUCAAUGUGCCUCUAACUUGAUCUGGAAGGACGUCUCUAAGAGGGAGAGGAUAGGCCCAGUUGUGAAGUGGAUCUU
rnacentral:sRNA from 1 species